GGGUAGCAUUAAGAUCCAGACGAGCAGCACAACCUUCCAGAAGAGCAGCGGUUGCUGAAACCUCUGCAGAAAUUUGCAGGCCCGAGGAGGAGGAAGGUUCGACCAAACGGCCAACAGCAAGAUCCAGAAGUGUUUGGCAAGACGGCUGCUGAAACGACACUCUCAAUCAUCUACAGAAAUUCACGGCCAAAGGAAGCUUCAACCAUGGCUGACAUGGGUGCUAGCUUGCAUGAAGAAGAAUUAUCGGACUGGAUGUCGCAGCUUUCAGGUUCGAUAAAUUGGACUUGGAGGUGUAUGAGGAUAGCAUUUCCACUGGGAAGAUGGCUCAAGUAGGGACAUAUCCCAUUGCAGAGGGGGGUAUUUCCUCUGAAAUCUUCGGGAAGUCACAAGGAAAAGAUUCGACCAUGUUUGGCAAGUCAGGCUUGGAGGCAAAUGAAGAUAGUAUUUGUUCCACAGGGAAAGAAGCGCAAGUAGAGACACCUCCACUGGUGGAGGGGGGGCAUUUUUUCAGAGAUUGACAGAUCCUCGGAGAAGGAUUCUACCAUGACCAAGGCAAAGAAAGGAGAUUUAUUUGAUGAUGAUGAAGAUGAAUAUGUAGAUUGGAUAAUAAAGAUAUUGAAGAGUGGGGGGGCAUGAUGAUAUCUUAUCCCAUUAUAUCCCAGAUGAAGGAGAAAAACAUGUCGUGCAUUAUGAUGUGCCAGAUGAGUUCUGUGAUCCUAUUGAAAAGGACAAUGACACAAUGGACAAUUGCAAGAAUAUGAAGAGAGUUUCUAAGAAAGAAACAAUUAAAAAUGGAAUCAAGUGGAUGAGUGAGGAAUGCUUUCUUGCUUUCACAAAAUAUGCUGAAAAGAUUAAUAAUCUUGAGGUUUGUCAAUCCUCGCCCUUUAUUUUCUUUUUCAUAUAGUUCAAUUAAGAUUUGUUUCCUCGUGGAUUUGUAGGGCAUCAAGCACAGGUUUGGUGAGCUUUGCUAUCAGUGUUUAAGUGUAGAAGCUCAUGACAAGAAUUUUCAUCACUACAACUUCACUAUUGAGACAGAGCAUAGAAGUACUAAUGUUUUGACUUCACAACUUUAUUUUGCUGAAGUAAAGCAACUGUCUGGUGUUAAGUCAUAUUUCUGCUGCCUGCUGGACCAAGAUGAUGAAGGGCACUGCUAUGGAUGCAAGAACCAGGAAAUGUAUGGCCUAAAGCAUCCUAGUACAGGUUGUUAUGAGGUAGGAGCUGCUGAUAUAUGUUGGCCUUUUAUAGAUGACACUGAUUCUGGCAGUGAUGGUGAUGAUGAUUGUGGUGGCCUUGGCUGUUGACAAGCCAUCAAAUAUGGGUAGCUUGGACAUGUAUGCGAAAACAAGAUCUUGUGAGUGGUUCUUGGGAAGGGCGAUCGGCUUUGUUGCUACCUGAGUGUAGUAUUCAGCUUGCUAACCGCUGGAGGAACUUUUUGUAAAUACUAUUAGCAUUUAGGAUCUACCAGUUUCUGCCCCAACAAUAUCCUAAUUCAGUAAUGCUGAUCCAAAUAAAUGAGCACUAGAGAACUUAUGUUUGGCUUUCGUGCCAAAAUAACCAAAUCUAAUUCUGUAGGAAGUUGGAUUAAUGUUAUUGACAGUCCAGAACAUUAUGCUUGCCAAGGUGUUACCUUCUGACUUCUAA